CUGAGUUCCAAGACCCCAGGCCCCAACCCCAGAAACUAGGCCGCACUGCCCUCAACUGAGGGGCUACCUGGAAGGGCCCUCAUAUGGGCACACCCGUGGUCCAGCUUUUGCCGAUUGUCACAUCCCUGCUGUGAAAGGCGACCAGACCUGUGCAGCCGGGAGUUCCCACGGACACUGCUGGGCUCGUUCCUUGCACGACUGUGACCUGUUAGAGAUGACACAACAGCCGCCGCUACACAGCACUGUCCACUGGAGCCUUGACCAAGACCACGCAACUCUAUCUUAAGAGGAAGUCAGAAAACAAACAAGGUGAUUCUCGCUUAUGCUGGGCCGACACCUGUUCCUCGUAGCUUAUCUUCACCCUGUUGUCUCCACCUGGACCUGGAGUUCGGGGGCCCCGGAGUACCUGCACAUCUCUGCCAGGGGGGCCCCCAAAACAGGAGCGAAAUCUCCCCCAGGCCUGGAUCCCUCCUUCCUGUGUUAGCCGCUCCAGAUCCUCUGGUCGACUCCAAACCAUGGAAGGUACACCCAGAGAGAACCCUAAUGUGAACUAGGGCUUGUGGGUGGUGGUGACGUCAGUACAGGUCCAUCAGUGGUAACAAACGCACCACUCUGUGGGGGCAUUGAUAAUGAGGGAGGCUGUGCAAGUGUGGGAGCAGGGGGCUUAUGGGAAAUCUCUGUGCCUUCCUCUCAAGUUUGCUGUGAACCGAAAACUUUCCCCC
rnacentral:lncRNA from 1 species